AUUCCAGCUCCAAUAGCGUAUAUUAAUGUUGUUGCAGUUAAAAAGCUCGUAGUUGGAUUUCUGGAUUGAGCGGCUGGCCUUACGCGCAAGCGUUCGUGUCGGCUUCGUUUCGGUCCAUCCUCAGGGGGACUUGCGCUGGCAUUAACGUGUCGGUGUUGGGACGCCUGUCGUUUACUGUGAACAAAUUAGAGUGUUCAAAGCAAGGUGUACUUGAAUACAUUAGCAUGGAAUAAUAAGAUAGGACUUUGGUGGUUCUUUUUGAUAUUUUGUUGGUUUGCACGCCAAAGUAAUGAUUAAUAGGAGCAGUUGGGGGUAUUCGUAUUCAAUUGUCAGAGGUGAAAUUCUUGGAUUUAUAGAAGACGAACUACUGCGAAAGCAUUUACCAAGGAUGUUUUCAUUA
rnacentral:rRNA from 1 species